rnacentral:rRNA from 1 species
GACGAACGCUGGCGGCGUGCUUAACACAUGCAAGUCGAACGGAAAGGCCCUGCUUUUGUGGGGUGCUCGAGUGGCGAACGGGUGAGUAACACGUGAGUAACCUGCCCUUGACUUUGGGAUAACUUCAGGAAACUGGGGCUAAUACCGGAUAGGAGCUCCUGCUGCAUGGUGGGGGGUGGAAAGUUUCGGCGGUUGGGGAUGGACUCGCGGCUUAUCAGCUUGUUGGUGGGGUAGUGGCUUACCAAGGCUUUGACGGGUAGCCGGCCUGAGAGGGUGACCGGCCACAUUGGGACUGAGAUACGGACCAGUCUCCUACGGGAGGCAGCAGUGGGGAAUAUUGCACAAUGGGCGGAAGCCUGAUGCAGCAACGCCGCGUGCGGGAUGACGGCCUUCGGGUUGUAAACCGCUUUCGCCUGUGACGAAGCGUGAGUGACGGUAAUGGGUAAAGAAGCACCGGCUAACUACGUG